UCCAAUCAUACAACUCCCGAGCACGGUAGCAGGACGCACCGGCCAAGGCAGUUUGUAACGGAUAUCGCCUUCACUUGGCGUGGAUGACUCCCACCCAUUUUAUCUUGUCAACAGCCAACCAGGUUCCAACAUGACAUUGGGCCUAGUGGCCAAGAAGCAGUAAAACUCGGCUCACAUCAGGCUCACAACCACACCUGGGCCUACGGUCUCAGGACAAAACUCUGAUUCUGCUUCCGCUCGCGCACGCAAAUCUCGAUCCUAUCUCGCUUAAGACAAUCCACUGGUAUCGAUUCCUUUCUCUAAACGAUCCUGGGCGCCCCGGUGUGUCCAUCCAGCGGUUCCCCCAAACGCGAAAAUUUUUGGGCUGCCGCUGGGUGCCGCCCGCCGCGGCGCGGCUGGUAUCGAGACUAGGGUUUCAGCCCUGUCUCUAGCUACUUUCAAACAGUCUGCUAGGCGUCCCACUGGUUGUACGUCUCGUACGCCAUGGAGAGCCAACAUCAAUCUCACUUUAUCACACACCCCCAUCCCUCGAGCGUCUCGUCUGUGCCUAUCUUCCGGCUGGGAGACAGUGCUCGGCAAUGGGUCGCCAGGGUUGAGAGAUGUGGUCGGAUGUACGGCUGGAGUGAAGAGGCUCAGCUGGACGUCGCCAUCUGCCGCCUAGGAGAUGAGGCCAUCUGCUGGCAAGCCGGCAUGGAAGCGUCUCUCCCCGAUUGGCCUAGCUUUAAAGCCGCGUUUCUGGAACGAUUCGAUCCGACCCAAGAAGAGUUGUUUAGCCGACUAGCUCAUUGUCGGCAAGAACGGGGCGAAGCUGUACGGACGUACGCUGACCGCUACCGCGACCUAGCUGCACAACUGGGUGUGGACACGCAACACGACCCCAUCCACAUGCAUAACUUCUUACAAGGACUACAACUCAAGGUUUACAACAAGGUUUUCUUCAUGCGACCAUCUAGCUUUGAAGACGCUGUACGAUGCGCCAUCUAUAUCAACGAGGGCUUGGACCGCCAGGAUGUGGCUGGCCACUACGAACCGUUUCCCCCUCAGCGCACACGUGAUAUGGAUUUCCACAGCCAUCCUUCUCGGGCUACCCCGCGCUGGGAAAACCGUCACGGCGACCUUCGUGGUAAUGUGCCUGAUUCCCCGACCCCUAGCGGCUCACGACCGGAUGGUCCCCGAACUCCAGUGGCUACACAACGUCCCAUGGGACCACGGCAACCAGAGCAGAAGCCCGCUGGGAAUGCUCCCUGGCAGAGUCGCCCAAAACCUAAGGUUUCGACACCCCCAGAGAAUGAACCCCUGGAGUCACGAGUUGACGAAAUCGCUCGCCAGUUGUCACGAUUAACCCUGUUGCUGGAGCGCAACCCUAAUGUACAAUUGUGGGAAAGGGAUAACACUCACCAUGAAGACCCACAUUUGUCUCAGAUGGAGCAUCCGGACAUCUACUCUUGUUUCCGGCCGGCUACCCCACCAGCCGCCUAUGUCAAACGUGUGGCCAAUUUCGAGCCUAUACCGCUUCCCCGCAAGCGUCCAACGGCUACCCCUAGCCAGGAUGCGCCUCGGCCUGCUACUACCGGGCGUAUAGGCAUUGUACGACCUGUGGUGACACCGUUGGCUUCCCCGAAUGCCCCGGCUACGGCUACCCAGGCACAUCAGCCACAGGAGCCAGCAGCUCCGGGUGCGCCACCUCCAGGGUGUACUGCCGCAACCGGAGGUACCGUCCCUGCUCAGCGAGGCAUUGCCAGCGCUGAACCUCGUCUCCGUCGACGAGUAGCUGAGUCUGGCAGCCGCACCGAUCCGAUUCCUGCGGACCCACAAGAAGAAGAACGGCGUAUUGCUGAGGACAUCAUUCAUAAGGUCAACAAGUAUGCACUACCAUUGAGUACAACUCUACGAUGCAACCCUAUCAGCAUCUACACGAAGGUUGGCAGCCGAGUUCUUGGAUUGGCUCGUCAGCACACCAGCGCUGGCAACCCCCAGCCUGGGCCCAUGUUUGGUCCAGCAAGGCCUACGGCAGGCACCAUGCAAGCUUCUCUUUCAGAGCGACCAUCUUCAACAAUACCCGCCUGGAAGUCUGAUGCCGUCGUACCACCCUGGCAGGUUUGCAAAGCUACCGUAUGGAUAAUUGAUGGACAUGGAGGACAAGUUCCCGUCCCCGCUGUCAUCGAUUCUGGGGCUUCUCAUAGUGUUGUUACACGAGACACACUACGGCGUUUAGAUCUUCUACACCUGAUGGAGGAGACGGAGGUGACGUUCCUGAAUGCGGAUGGCAAUCGUGGUCGGGCCGCUGGACGUGUCAGUGAACUGCAAGUGUCCACUGGCGACCUAACGAUGCUGCUAAGUCCGUUCGUCAGCACCGCCCUCAACUAUCAGCUACUCCUGGGCACCGACUUCCUCUAUCCAAUACGAGCAAGCAUUUCGUACGACAGCAGUCGCCUGGAAUACACGAAUGACCGGGAUCAGCGGUCCAACAUUGCUAUCCAUUUUCUUCGGAGCCCCAGCUCUAAUAUUCCUCCGUCUGCUCGGCUUUGGGACGACUCACCUAAGCAAGACGACACUCAACCAGCUUCCAUGUUGACGGCCGAGGCAUCAAUACAGCGGCCUGAGACGCCCACGCCACAAAGGCAGAUAUCGCCUGCGGCUAUCAGUAGAGGCUCCGCGCCUGAGACCAUUGAUUCACCUGAGGAAAACAGCGGAGAGGUUAGUGAUGGUGAUUCGACAGCCCGUGGGGACAUGGACAUGGAACACAUCGUCGACACACUUGUACGGCACGUGUUUAGGUCGGACGUGGUUCCGUCGGAAAGUGCCUCCAGCGGCGAAUGGGCUGCGGAUGCAUGGAGUACCGACAGCGUCGUCAGUUCUGGCAGUGAAGAGGCUCGGGCAAAUGUCUGGCCUGGAGAUGAGUUCGAGUACGACAAUGACUCGCACUCCGGACCUGGACUGCCAAUAUCGACCCCUGCGGAUCCAUUCCGUUCUUUUCCUGAAACUAUUCCCGUCUUGAGUUCGCGAGAGCUCCUGUUACCACGAUUGCUAACUGAGGAGUGUGCUCCCGUUACCCACAGCCAUGCGGCGGCAGCACAGUUUAAUGCGAACAUGCCAGCUGCCCUUGCCCCAGACGGCUUGGAUCACGACGGACAUUUAGAGGAAGCUCAUUUUCGCGGGUUGGUAGCCCGUGCGGUUCGGCCAGUCAAGAGCCCUACCCCUGAGCUACGCGAGUUGCUAAGCAGCAAAGUAAACACCGAUCUUCAGUACCUCGACCACCAGCAGCUGGUCGCAUGUUUGACUGACAACUUUGACAUGUUCGCCUUAACCAACCGAGAGCUAGGGCUUACGUCCUGGGUGUCCAUGAAGGUGGACACGGGAGAUCAUCCUCCUAUCGUGCAGAAUCCUUACCGUCUGUCACGAACGGAGAAAGCCACCGUUGAUGCUGAGAUGCGGCAGAUGCUACAGGACGGAAUCAUCGAACUGUCCAACAGUCCUUGGGUGUCUCCAGUCGUAGUCGUUCCCAAGAAAAACGGAGAACUUCGGCCCUGUGUAGAUAUGCGGAGGGUCAACGACGUCACUAAGGACAUCCGGUUUCCGAUAGGUCACAUCCAGGAUAUUUUGGAUAUUGCUGCACCUCCGGGUGGCGAGACUCGUUACUACUCCAGCCUGGACUUGAAGUCGGGCUACUGGCAAGUCCCGAUGGCGGACGAGGCUUCUAAGGAGCGUACGGCAUUUGCCACGCCCACAGCUCAGUAUCGAUAUGUACGAAUGCCCAUGGGUCUAAAGGGAGCAGCCGCCGUGUUCGCUACCCUGAUGCACAAGGUUCUGGGCCCACUACUAGAGGAUUCGCCUCCACCCCCUGCUUCAUUGGAUAACCCACCGCGGGAACGGUGUGUGGUGGUUUAUCUGGAUGAUAUCCUUAUCUUCAGCCCAACACUACAAGAUCAUGUACGACAUCUUCAGCAAGUGUUCGACCUUCUCCGAAUGGCUGGUCUCAAGAUCGCAGCUAAGAAGUGCACGUUUGGCCAACAACGCGUGGUUUUCCUUGGUCAUCUACUUGAUGGAAUACGUGGUGUCGUGGGACCUAACCCCACCAACGUCAUGAAAAUUGCAGAACUUCCGUCGCCAUCCAAUGUUCGCGAAGUACGAGCUUGGCUGGGAGCUGUUGGUUACUACCGGGAACUUAUCCCUGGCUUCGGCUUGAUUGCACAGCCAUUGUAUGCGCUACUUAAGCAGGGGACACCCUGGUGCUGGGGUCCAAGAGAAGAAGACGCUUUUCAAGAGCUACGUAAUGCUUUGCUGGGGGAGCCUGUUCUCUGUGCACCUGAUUUCCGACGCCCGUUCUUGGUCCAAGUCGACUGGUGCCGCACUGCCGUCGCCGCGUGCCUGGCCCAGCAGGACAACAAAGGAUAUGAAUACGCCGUUCAGUUUGCUAGUAAGGCUAUGACUGGCUCACAGCUGAAUUACAGCGCGGCAGAUGGAGAGGCCUACGCUGCCUUAUGGGCAAUUAAACACUUUCACCCCUACUUGUACGGCACUUAUUUUGUAUUCAUCACGGAUUCGAUGGCGGUUCGGUCUUUGCGGACUGCACGUGCUCGAGAUCUUCUGGGAAAGCUGGCUCGAUAUGCGCUCAAGCUUCAAGCCUACGACUUUGAAGUGAUGCAUAAGGCCGGACGCAAGAAUUCAAACGUGGAUGGUUUGAGCCGCUUGGGACAUCUGAUGGAGCCCCACCGUAAUUUGCCUACGGAGAUCGACCCCAUUCCGGACCCACUUGAGGAUGCCGCCAUCUUGGCAUGCUCAAUUGCAGCCGUCACCUCCGAGGUUCAGAUCCUCAUAACUGAACAGGAAGAGGAGUGUAGCCGCGGCAUUAUACCGGAUGAGCCGUCCAUGGUGGCUGUACACCAGCCUCCGGCUCCAUCGUUGCCUACACCAGAGCACAACCCCUUGCGUGAAGCAACCAGACCCCUGGUCCCGCGUGGCAAGCGACGCUUGGAUAGGUCAGCUCGUCUGACAUCUGGAACACCAGAUAAGAUACCUGCAGUACAACACGCACGGCAACACCGUCGCCGUCACGCUGUCAAUCCACGUCUAGCAGAUUACGCGGAGCCACCUGCUUCCGAAAGCACCAAUACUGAUGAUGACCCCGGAAUGAUCUGUUCGGUCUGUCUACGAGGACGGCCGACAUCCACUCUUCUGCUCUGCGAUGAGCCUUUCUGCUGUCUGGGCUGGCACACCACGUGUCUAGAUCCACCAUUGUCUGUGGUACCGGCUGGGCCAUGGUUUUGCCCACCUCAUAAUAGCAAACCAGCUCAACAUUCUGCAAAGCGUCGUCUGUCUACCGGCCCUGGCGAUACGCCAGCCAAGCGGGUGCGAUUUUCCCGAUCCCUGCCCACCCUGGACAAACCCUGUCCUGCUGAUCAGCGAUUGGCUGGAGGUCCAGCCAUCAUUCACCCCCGGGCCACCCCAGGUCGCCCUAUGGCCGACCGUAUUCCUACUCAGGGUUUGACCCCGUCACCUUCUCCUUCCUUGUCUUCCUCAAGCAAGGAAAGCGAAUCAGGUCCGGAUUCCAAUGUUUUUACCCCAGAUAGUGGUAACAGCUCCGGCGAGACGCCGAAGCCUGGACCUCUCACCCCUACAGAAAUUUGGCAGGAUAAAGCAUUGAUUCGAUACUUAGAAUUUGGCAAGCUUCCUGUCAACGUUUCGGCAUCCGGGGAAGACAAUCUGAGGGAGAUGACAAGAUUACGUAAAAAGGCUGCUUGAUAUGAACUUUCGAAUGGCCAGCUGUGGAAGCUGAGCUCGGAUAAGCAACCACGGGUGCGAGUUCUCAAACCUGAGGAACGUCUGGCAGCGCUUCAAGAGGCCCACGACAUGGCUCAUUGGGGAGUCGGCAAGACCUAUGACUUUCUUCGCAAGCGUUUCUUUUGGGAGAACAUGCGACAGGAUGUGCAGACACACGUGGCCAAGUGUCAGAAGUGUGCACCUGGCAAGCUGAGGCUUGUACGGCAACCACGACUUCGCCCCCUUCCGGUGGUACCGCUGUGGGGAAGAGUACAUGUUGACCUGAUGGGACCUUACAAGGAGACACCCCGCGGCAACAGCUAUCUGAUCGUGGCUGUAGACUCAUGGUCUAAAUGGCCCGAGGCAGGACCCCUGCCGGAUAAGAAAGCUAGCACCACUGCAUCAUGGUUCUGGCGACAGUGGGUGACCCGCUAUGGAUCGCCAGAAAUGGUGAUGACGGAUCAAGGUCGAGAAUGGGAUGGCGAGUUUGCCCACCUGCUACGAGAGCAGAAAAUCGCACAUCGACACACCGCUGCCUACUCACCUCAGAGCAACGGGCAGGCAGAGCGUCUUGUCAGGGUACUGUUGACAAGCCUACGCAAAUGCAUCAACGACAAGGAAGACAACUGGGACAUUGAGGUCUAUCAAAUUCUCUAUGGUUAUAGAGCUACCCGACAAGAUAGCACGCGGUUGAGCCCGGCGCUAUGUGUGUUCGGCAAAGAACUUACAACGGCGGCUGAACGCAGCACCGCCCCGAAUCCCACACUACCGUCAGAGGAGCCGGCGGAGGUAUGUGCAGAAGACUAUGAGGCUCUGCAGCACCGACGUUCACAACUAGAGCUGGUGGCUGAUCAGGUUGUGGAAAACCUGACAAAAGCCAAAAGUCGACAGCAGCGGGACUAUGCUAAACGACACGGUAACCUUAUGUUGCAGCCCAACAAUGAGGCGGACCCACGGGUCACCCCUAUUGCUCAAACGGAUCGCGCAACUGGCGGACCAGUUUCGCUGGAACCCCAGCCAGCGGCCGCGCAGAAACGUAAGACUCCCAUCAAGGUGGAUGAUGCAAGUUCGCUGGAACACGCACCUGACCUGGUGGAAAACACCAAGGUGUACCGAUGGACUCGGCGCUCACACAAGCUUGGGACCGACAGGGAGGGCCCAUUUUUCUUUAAGUACUGGAAUGCGCUCGGUACUCUGGCGCUGGUUGAGACUGCUGACGGACAGCCGUUCACAGUCCCUGUAAAGCAACUGUUCGUCCCUUCGGAGAUUCGGAGCUUCGAGGGAAAACAGCACGGAAAUUAGCGGUUGGGCCUACGUAAGCGAAUACUUAUGGCAGCAGUAAUCUUUCGAAGCGGCAAGCUCAAAGAAGACCCUAUCGGAGCUUAGCCCCGGCCGGGUGGCCAGGUUUCUGAAGGGGGGGACGCUACAGCUGUAGCAACGUCCAGCUAGUCAUAGAAAACUGAGUCUGACGGCUUUGGUUGCGUAUCGUUCCGGGCAUAGCAGGAGGUCGAAUAUUGCCAUAUCGUUAAUUAAAAACUAUAAACGCGUUGAGAAUGGUCAUGUACAUACGGCACACCGCGUAAAGACUGACGAUGUAUGUUUCGACCGGGCGACGUAAAAACAGGCGAUUUGUGUCUGACGAUCUAGCUCCGGUCUGAGAAAUGUUCUAUGAAAAAUAUCCUGUACUAGUUUCUUCUCAGUUUCCUUUGGCCGCCAUGAAC
rnacentral:lncRNA from 1 species